CCCUGCUCCUCCUGCUGCACCCUCUGUAUUCAUGCUGAGAGAGCUGACAUGAGAUGGGAGUUGCUCUCCAGAUGGAAGUUGAAGGUUUUCAAUAUUGUCUGGGGAUGCUGAAGCUGUGACAGUCUGAGAAGCAGUUUUGACCAGCCUCCUGCAGUACCAGCCAGGGAAGGCUAUUGAGUAUUGGUGCUGCACUUGGAGCACAGAAAGAAUGGGAUGUUUUGCAGUCCUAGAUUCAAUUCAUGGUUAAAUGUCUCAGAGCCCUGCCAUAUUCCAGAACAGAAGUCAAAUUUGAAUUCUGAGAACCUGUCAAGAAAUGCUCAUGGGAGACAAAUGAUCACAUAAACGUCAAAGGCAUCAUUUCUUAAAUCUUUCUGCUCUGGACAUUGCUAGCAGUCAUGUCUCAGCAAUACCUUUUGGGCUGAAUGUGGAUCUACACAAGAUUAUGUUCAUUAUGUGCUGAAGACUGUAUUUUUCACAGUAUUCCUCUCCUUA